rnacentral:rRNA from 1 species
AGUGAACGCUGGCGGUAGGCCUAACACAUGCAAGUCGAACGGCAGCACAGUAAGAGCUUGCUCUUACGGGUGGCGAGUGGCGGACGGGUGAGGAAUACAUCGGAAUCUACUUUUUCGUGGGUGAUAACGUAGGGCAACUUACGCUAAUACCGCAUACGACCUACGGCUGAAAUCAGUGGAUCUUCGGACCUUGCCCGAUUGAAUGAGCCGAUGUCGGAUUAGCUAGUUGGCGGGGUAAAGGCCCACCAAGGCGACGAUGCGUAGCUGAUCUGAGAGGAUGAUCGGCCACACUGGAACUGAGACACGGUCCAGACUCCUACGGGAGGCAGCAGUGGGGAAUAUUCGACAAUGGGCGCAAGCCUGAUCCAGCAAUACCGCGUGAGUGAAGAAGGCCUUCGGGUUGUAAAGCCCUUUUGUUAGGGAAGAACAGAAGCAGAUUAAUCCCCCGCUGUUUUGACGGUACCCAAAGAAUAAGCACCGGCUAACUUCGUG